AGAGUUUGAUCCUGGCUCAGGUGAACGCUGCGGCGUGCUUAAGCAUGCAAGUCGAACGAGGGUCUUCGGACCCUAGUGGCGCACGGGUGAGUAACGCGUAACUGACCUACCCUCAAGUCGUGGAUAACGUGCCGAAAGGUGCGCUAAUACAUGAUGUGCUGAUUGCUCUUGUGCAAUCAGUAAAGGUUUACUGCUUGAGGAUGGGGUUGCGUUCCAUCAGCUAGUUGGCGGGGUAAAGGCCCACCAAGGCAACGACGGAUCGCCGGCCUGAGAGGGUGGCCGGCCACAGGGGCACUGAGACACGGGUCCCACUCCUACGGGAGGCAGCAGUUAGGAAUCUUCCACAAUGGGCGCAAGCCUGAUGGAGCGACGCCGCGUGAGGGAUGAAGGUUUUCGGAUCGUAAACCUCUGAAUCUGGGACGAAAGACGCGUAAGCGGGAUGACGGUACCAGAGUAAUAGCACCGGCUAACUCCGUG
rnacentral:rRNA from 1 species